CGGCACUGCAGAUGUUUUGGACUACAUCUCUCAUGCUUUGCCAGCAUUAUGGGAGAUGUAGUCCAAAACAUCUGGAGUGCCA
rnacentral:miRNA from 1 species